AGCGAACGCUGGCGGCAGGCCUAACACAUGCAAGUCGAACGAACUCUUCGGAGUUAGUGGCGGACGGGUGAGUAACACGUGGGAACGUGCCUUUAGGUUCGGAAUAACUCAGGGAAACUUGUGCUAAUACCGGAUGUGCCCUUCGGGGGAAAGAUUUAUCGCCUUUAGAGCGGCCCGCGUCUGAUUAGCUAGUUGGUGAGGUAAUGGCUCACCAAGGCGACGAUCAGUAGCUGGUCUGAGAGGAUGACCAGCCACAUUGGGACUGAGACACGGCCCAAACUCCUACGGGAGGCAGCAGUGGGGAAUCUUGCGCAAUGGGCGAAAGCCUGACGCAGCCAUGCCGCGUGGAUGAUGAAGGUCUUAGGAUUGUAAAAUCCUUUCGCCGGUGAAGAUAAUGACUGUAGCCGGAGAAGAAGCCCCGGCUAACUUCGUGCCAGCCGCCGCCGUAACAC
rnacentral:rRNA from 1 species